rnacentral:rRNA from 1 species
UCCUACGGGAGGCAGCAGUGGGGAAUAUUGGACAAUGGGCGAAAGCCUGAUCCAGCCAUGCCGCGUGUGUGAAGAAGGUCUUCGGAUUGUAAAGCACUUUAAGUUGGGAGGAAGGGCAUUAACCUAAUACGUUGGUGUUUUGACGUUACCGACAGAAUAAGCACCGGCUAACUCUGUGCCAGCAGCCGCGGUAAUU